rnacentral:rRNA from 1 species
UGGGGAAUAUUGCACAAUGGGCGCAAGCCUGAUGCAGCGACGCCGCGUGGGGGAUGAAGGCCUUCGGGUUGUAAACUCCUUUCGCUAGGGACGAAGCGUUUUUGUGACGGUACCUGGAGAAGAAGCACCGGCUAACUACGUGCCAGCAGCCGCGGUAAUACGUAGGGUGCGAGCGUUGUCCGGAAUUACUGGGCGUAAAGAGCUCGUAGGUGGUUUGUCGCGUCGUUUGUGUAAGUCCACAGCUUAACUGUGGGACUGCAGGCGAUACGGGCAUAACUUGAGUGCUGUAGGGGAGACUGGAAUUCCUGGUGUAGCGGUGGAAUGCGCAGAUAUCAGGAGGAACACCGAUGGCGAAGGCAGGUCUCUGGGCAGUAACUGACGCUGAGGAGCGAAAGCAUGGGUAGCGAACAGG